rnacentral:lncRNA from 1 species
CUCUUAACAGGCGGGCUGAGGAAGUUGCCUCUCUCUGGCGCCUGCAUUCAAUGAACGUUUGUAAUGUUAGCAGGUGUGGACCUUGAGGAGAUUUUCUCUCCCUGGCUGCCCAAUUAUCAUUUUUAGAGAGGCAAUGCGAUAAUUGCUGAACGAUGUCACCUGACAUUCCUAGCGGGUGGGAGAGAGCCCUCUCCUGCCCCGCUCAUUGCCUAACUACCUGUAACAGGUGUGUGGGUGAGUGCUCCCUGUGAUGGAACGGUGUCCUGUUCAGGACUGGGUGCCACCUGGCACCUUGAGCUGCCAGGACCGGCUCGGGCUGCUCGCGAUCCCAAACUAGAACAAAUGGAAAUGUUCAGUUGUCUAGCUCACAGGGAUAUCCACAAGCCAGACCCAGAAAGCCUUUGCUACCAUUGAUGAAGAUGCCAAGUCCACAGCCCAACAGCCAGAAGACCCUUGGUCUAGAUUCCAUGCACUGGAUUUUUACGGAUGAAGAAUAGGAAUGUGUUGAGAAGGGAUGGGAUGGUGAUAAAAUUAGAAACUGAAUGGUGGUUGUAUUGGUUCCUGAACCUUGUUAUUCCUCCUACCCCUAAGUUCCAUUUAAGAAGGGGUCCCAGGAGGUGGGUGACUCUGGCUGUUGGAAAACAUAAUUAGGCUUGACUUCUUACCUCUCACCACUAAUUCUUACCUCUCACCCUAAUUCUGAAGAAUUAGGUAACAAAACAAGCUCUGCACUGAGAGUCAAUAGGCAAGCUGAACUGUUCAAGUUGAAGACCCAACAGACAAAUCCCAAAAGAGAUUGCUUUACCUUUCAUCAGCAGGAUGGGAAAGAUUUAU